ACUUGUCUAUUUCUAUUGAAACACUUCUCCGCGUUUAAGGAUAUAUUGGCUGCUUUAAAGAUGGACGUCCUCCUGCAAUAGAAAAUCGGUACUGGAGAGAAGAUAAAAUGACUAUAGAAAAAUGUCAGAAUCACUGUCGAGAAAGAAGCACAAAAUAUGCUGGUCUGCAGCAUGGUCAGCUAUGUUACUGUGGCAACACUUAUGAGACAUAUGGUCCUUUAGGCGGAGAUCAUUGUGGCAUGGAAUGUGCUGGAGAUCCUACGGAAUUCUGUGGAGGGUACCUUGCUAAUUCGAUUUUUAGUACACAUGUUAAUGAGAAAUAAGCUGUGAAGAUUAUAUCCACGAAAACAUUUCACUGAAAUCUCACCCUUUCUCAGAAAACUUGACGAUCGAAAUUGUUGGAAAUCAGCACAAAGCCUUUUGAAGAUUUUAAAAUGAAAACUUAUUGAUUUUUCUGGUUGAUAUUCAUUUUAGUGACGAAGGAAGUCCAAAAUGCUAGAAAUCAGCAUUAAAUUAUUCGAAAUUUUUUAAAUAAAAAUUUGUUGUCUUCUCAUUAUUAGUGAUUUUAGUUUUUCCAACAAUUGUCAGAUUCAGAACUACUGUGAAUGCUUUAUUUACCAAAUAUUUAACUGCAUUGAAUUUUGUCUAGAAAACAUAGAAAUGAAAAUAUUAGGAAUCAACAGCAAAUGAAAUAUUGAAAUGAAACAUUGAACUUUUUCAGACGACAAAUAUUCUUGUGAUUAAUUUAAAAUUUCUCUCACACACACUUGUCAGAUUCUGAAUUGGUUACCAUACACUUAUAGCUUUAAAGGCUAUAUUUAACUGAAGUCAAAACAUUACUUGUGGAGAGAAUCGCUAGAAAGUGUUGACAAUCUUCAGCAAAUCAUUUGACAAUACUGAAAUAAAAUUUUUGGUGAUCUUUU